GACGAACGCUGGCGGCGUGCCUAAUACAUGCAAGUAGAACGCUGAAGGAGGAGCUUGCUUCUCUGGAUGAGUUGCGAACGGGUGAGUAACGCGUAGGUAACCUGCCUCGUAGCGGGGGAUAACUAUUGGAAACGAUAGCUAAUACCGCAUAACAGUAGAUAUCGCAUGAUAUCUACUUGAAAGGUGCAAUUGCAUCACUACCAGAUGGACCUGCGUUGUAUUAGCUAGUUGGUGAGGUAACGGCUCACCAAGGCGACGAUACAUAGCCGACCUGAGAGGGUGAUCGGCCACACUGGGACUGAGACACGGCCCAGACUCCUACGGGAGGCAGCAGUAGGGAAUCUUCGGCAAUGGACGGAAGUCUGACCGAGCAACGCCGCGUGAGUGAAGAAGGUUUUCGGAUCGUAAAGCUCUGUUGUAAGAGAAGAACGAGUGUGAGAGUGGAAAGUUCACACUGUGACGGUAUCUUACCAGAAAGGGACGGCUAACUACGU
rnacentral:rRNA from 1 species